rnacentral:rRNA from 1 species
CAGGCCUAACACAUGCAAGUCGAACGGUAACAGAGAGUAGCUUGCUACUUUGCUGACGAGUGGCGGACGGGUGAGUAAUGUCUGGGGAUCUGCCUGAUGGAGGGGGAUAACUACUGGAAACGGUAGCUAAUACCGCAUAAUGUCGCAAGACCAAAGCGGGGGACUUUCGGGCCUCGCACCAUCAGAUGAACCCAGAUGGGAUUAGCUAGUAGGUAGGGUAAUGGCUUACCUAGGCGACGAUCCCUAGCUGGUCUGAGAGGAUGACCAGCCACACUGGAACUGAGACACGGUCCAGACUCCUACGGGAGGCAGCAGUGGGGAAUAUUGCACAAUGGGCGCAAGCCUGAUGCAGCCAUGCCGCGUGUAUGAAGAAGGCCUUCGGGUUGUAAAGUACUUUCAGUCAGGAGGAAGGGUGUGAAAUUAAUACUUUCAUGCAUUGACGUUACUGACAGAAGAAGCACCGGCUAACUCCGUGCCAGCAGCCGCGGUAAU